rnacentral:lncRNA from 1 species
GCAAAUCAGAGGUACCAUAAUAAGCUCGAGGUCUGGUGUCGGCAGAUCUAGAACUCUUAACAUGGGAUCAUUAUGCCUUAAUGUUGCCUUGGGUGUCUUCCUGUUGUAUGUAUAACAACAUAGAGCCACAAGACAAUCCCAUAAGGCCCCGUUUGGAUCCUUAGAAUUGAAUUCCACUCUAAUAAUCAUAAUUUAGACACAAAUUAAUUAAGCUAAUAUAAUUGUAUGUGGAAUAUAUUUGUAUAUUAUUGUUGGCCAUAUGAAAGAGAUACUUAUGUGCUGCAUUUCUGCUACAUGGAAGCGAGUCGAAGAGCGUGCUAUAAGAAUUGAAUUCCAUUCUAAUAAUCAUAAUCUAUAGAAUCAAUUUCCAUCUCCCACCCUAUGAAUUUAACAUAGGCUUAUAUCUAA